GAGAAUUAUCAAAAAACCAUCGAAGAACGUUCAGUUGGAAGUUCAGCAGCUGAAGGAUGACGAAAACUGGAACGCCUCUGUGAUCGGAGAUGACAAUUUUGGCGACAAAGGUGACCGGGCGUGUGUACAGUGUGUAAAAAUUUCGGAUUUCGGUAAACCCAAUUUCGGAGUGUGAAUAAAACAAGUGAAGUGGAAGCAGCAGGAGAUUGGAGAAAUCGGAGGAACAUCCUUCAUCCUUCGCAGGCAGCAUCAACGGUGCAAGACGUCUCGAGAAAAUCUUUUGAAAGCAGUUCCGGACUUGAAAAAUCUCUUCAAAAUUCGGACGGAUCUGACUGGAAGGAGUUGACGAGAAGUAAAAAUUAGCCUCAAGUUGCUGUGCGGUCGAGUUAACUUGGUGUCGUUCCGAGUGUUCUACGAAAUGGUUCGUUCGGCUCACAAGGCGUUAUUCAUCUUCUUCGAUCAUUGUCGACUUAUCGCUGCAUACACAGCCAGGAUAUCAACAAAACGUUGCAGAGCAAAAAUGCAGCAAGAAUCGAUUGUUGGAACGAAACACGCGGAAUUUGGAUUCGAAUCGACGUAUAAUCGAGCGUCAAGUCGUAACCUGUACGCAUUCGACGAUAAGGUAAAUACGCGAUCUUGUUGACGUUCCGCUUCUUGAUUUUCAAGGUCAGUUUCGCGUCAGUCGAUUCUUGAGCCUCGCGGCGUCGGGACGCUGCUCAAGAAUUUACGCGUAUCGCGAGUAAUUUACGAGUGAAUAAGUGAACAAGUGUGAAUAAAAGUGAACAAGUGAAUAAAAGUGAACAAGUGAAUAACAAAUGUGAAGUGAGUGAUCGUGACGUGCGAGUUCAAUCGGACCUGGGUAAGAAAGCUUCGGCGUCGCAGUUUCUUCUUCUACACCUGUUAUCACCGUGCAGCUAAUGGAUCGUGUUUUGGUGACCUUUCCGCCGUGCUUGUGUUACGUCAUCUUUCAUCGAGGAGAGGCGGAAAUAUGAGGUAAUGGACCAUUAUUCUGAUCGUAUC
rnacentral:lncRNA from 1 species